GAUGAACGCUAGCGGCAGGCUUAACACAUGCAAGUCGAGGGGCAGCACGAGUAGCAAUACUUGGUGGCGACCGGCGCAAGGGUGCGUAACGCGUGAGCAACAUGCCCGUAUCAGGGGGAUAAUCCAGGGAAACUUGGUCUAAUACCCCAUAGUAAUCAUAUCAGGCAUCUGGUAUGAUUUAAAGCUUAGGUGGAUACGGAUUGGCUCGCGUGACAUUAGCUAGAUGGUAAGGUAACGGCUUACCAUGGCUAUGAUGUCUAGGGGUUCUGAGAGGAAGGUCCCCCACACUGGAACUGAGACACGGUCCAGACUCCUACGGGAGGCAGCAGUGAGGAAUAUUGGACAAUGGAUGGAAAUCUGAUCCAGCCAUGCCGCGUGAAGGACGACGGUCCUAUGGAUUGUAAACUUCUUUUGUAUGGGAGCAAUAAGGUCUACGUGUAGAUCGAUGAGAGUACCAUACGAAU
rnacentral:rRNA from 1 species